rnacentral:rRNA from 1 species
AUCGGCGUAAAGGGUGGUUAAAUAAACAAGGAAAAUAAAGCCGAAUGUUUCCUCAACUGUUAUACGUACUCGGAAACUAGAAACCCCUCUACGAAAGUAGCUUUACCAUUAUUGAACCCACGAAAGCUAAGACACAAACUGGGAUUAGAUACCCCACUAUGCUUAGCCCUAAACUCCAGUAAUUAAUUUACAGAAAUCAUACGCCAGGGAACUACAAGCAUUAGCUUAAAACCCAAAGGACUUGGCGGUGCUUAAUAACCCCCUAGAGGAGCCUGUUCUAGAACCGAUAACCCUCGUUAAACCUCACCUCUUCUUGUUCAUCCCGCCUAUAUACCGCCGUCGUCAGCUUACCCUGUGAAAGCCACCAAAGUAAGCAUACUGUGCA